rnacentral:lncRNA from 1 species
CUGACAUCUAGCUGCUGCUGGGGCGCCGGCGGCCGCCGCUCACUGGCCAAGCGGAGAGGAACGGAGCUGGCGGAGAGGAGGGUCAGGGACUCGGAAGCCUUAGAGUGGGCAAUGGAGGUGAGGGGCGAGGAGCAACCACCCCCCCAGGUUUUUAAUUUCCACUGGACACAGGUUUUGUUUUCCCCAGCUGCUCCAAGCUUGGAGUUUUGUCCCUGGCUCCAGUAUUUGCCCCUAUUCAGUGCGUGUCAUCUCGCCUUGCACUUUUUCUAAACGUACUCGGGGUGGCACUGCCUGUACCUCGACAUCGGUUUUUGAAGGGCGCUUUACCGGCCUAAGCCCAGGCCUUUUGUGCCUCCGGGUCUUCUGAGCACCCAGACUGCCAGUAGCCUCCAGGCGCAGAGUUCGCGGCCCGGGUAAACCAGAUGCUAGAGGGUCCGCGGGCUCUAUCGUCGAGGGGCGGUGCCCCAUUUUGGCUGUCGCGACCCCUGGAGGCCAAGGUCGAGGUCUGAGAGAAACUUUUCUCCCUCCCAGUCUUGGCCAUCCCCUAGCCUUUGCCCUCCAGGGAACCUAGUUGAAAACAUUUCCUGAGAACUGCACCCCCUUCAGGGCAAAGUCUUCAGGGGGCGAGUAAAAGCCUGAAGAAGAUUCAGAACCGCAAGUGGUUCCUCUCAUCUGGCUCCUCCACUUUAGAGGAUGGGGUUGAGGUCGGUAGCCCCCGGGUAGAGCCACCAGAAGAAAUCUCCGAAUGCGCAGAGUCUCCUUCUCCGCCCUUUUCCCUAGAGCUUGUUGAAGAUAGGGCUCGAGAGGCGCAGUGGGCUAACGUCCAGGAGCGUUGGGGUGAGGGUGAUGGCGGAGAGCGCCCUCCCUGGGUCUCCGGAGAGUCAGCCCUGGAGGUCAUUCAGCCUUAGCAACGAGGGGCUUCAGUCACUGGGUCCCCACGUUCAGUGCCUUUAUCACAUCCCCAGGCACAUCUCAGACACUGUCCCUAACGGAGAGUCGGGCCCCAGGAAUUAAAGAGUCAGGGAGGGUGGCAGAAGCCAAUAGAAGCAAAAAUCUGCUCUGGCCCCAUAAGGCCCCUUGGGGGAGGUUUACAUCAGAACUGAUCUGGGUUCAAGAGCUGCUAAUGGGGUAGUCCCAAGGAUAGGCAAUUCCAUCCCAGCCAGCAGCCCUCUCUGUUCACAAGAAAAGUGCUCAGACCUGCAGGAGUCAGAGGAGAGAAGCAAAGCUGAGGGAGAAGCACACGAAGCCAAGGUCUCCGCAGCAGCCAGCCAAGCUAAGGACCCAGCAGCCCUCCACUGAGUCAGGCCACUAGUACAGGUGACAACCCUGUGGAGAAGAAGCAGUGUGCCCCGUCAUCUGGACUCUGGAAUCAGACUACAUGGGUCUCAAACCCAGAUUGUCCCCGAGAAGUGAUGUGAAAUUUGGCCCAUUUCCUGACUCAAGUCUCAGUUUCCUCCUCUAUGUCAUGAGAAUACUUGAGGUUUCUGCAGCCUCAAAGAAGUUAAAGAGUUUGGCCACAAUCCCGCCAUUCGUCAGGGACAGAGCUGGGAUAUAAAACUAGGUCUAUCGGAUUCCCCAAAGCGCCUUUUUCCUGGAUACCCCUCUGCCUUAGGAGGAAAGUGGCCGGUAAGCCUGCUGAGGAGGCCUGCUCCCUGCCCAGCCUUUUCUUUUAAGGGCCAUCGCCUAUGCUCUGUGUGAGAGGCCCAGAUAGGUUCAAUCACAUAUGAUGCAUGAGAUAUAUAUGUUAGACUUCAGUUUAAAAAAAAAAAAAUCCUGUACCACUCCCUCACCCAUGUCUAAAAUUAAAAUGCCAAAAAUACUACCAGGAAGAGAAAUUUGGUGAAAAGCAAGAAAGACUAUAAAUUGACUGCAGAGUCUACGGCGAGACUUGGAUUUCUCUGGUUUAUUAAAGUCUCACUCUGUAGGAGCUCCUUUCAAGAAGCACUCAAAUAAACUGCACCAAUAUUUGACAGUGUGGAAGCUCUUUUCAAAGACUGUGUAGCCUAUCUUCCCAGAAAGAGAAUUUUCCUUCUUUUGAGUUUACUGCCUAUUGAGCGCCUUCAAUAAAAAGGGGAAAAAAGUAAUCAUGAAGGAUGGUGAUAUUUUUUUCUUCCCUAAUAUCUCCUUGGAACAUCCUGAAAUGUUUACCUGCUGAUUUUCUGUUAGGCAGAUUGGAGAGAGCAAGGUGAAAUUAUAAGAACACUGACUUCCAGUCAGAAGACCUGGAUUCAAGGCCGGCUUGGACAAAUGCUUCCUGUGUAACCCUGGGCAGGUCACUUAACCUCUCCAUGCUUCUAAGUCCUCCUCUGCAAGAACGGUGCUAUUACAUGGAACCUGUCUCUGACCUUUUCUUUUUUUUUACAGCCUCACCUGUGGCACAUGGAAGUCCUAGGCUUGGAGUCGAAUCGGAGCUGCAGCUGCCAGCCUACACCACAGCCACAGCCACGUCAGGUCGGAGGUGCAUGUAUGACCUACACUGCAGCCUACGGCAAUGCCAGAUCCUUAACCCACCGAGCUCGGUCAAGGAUCGAACCCACAUCCUCACGGAUACUAUGUCAGGUUCUUAACCCACUGAGCCACAA